GGAUGGUGCUGUUGAAACAUCUUGCUUAGGGAGGGGAAGGUGCUUGCGCCGGCCCUGUCUCAAGGAAAACAACCUUGGGUCAGCAAUAUCUUAUCAGAUAACUGCUUCGUUUCAUGGCUCAUCAAGAACAGCGUUUAAUUUUCAUAAUACGCGGGUCUAAAUGUGUGGAAACGUCUAAACCAAUGAUAAUCAAUUUAAAUGUUCAACGUCAUACGCACGCCCCAAGAUUGUGCUGCGUCAUAUCCGUAUUUUCUGUCCGGUCCCAGGUUUUUGUCCCAUGAACCCGGACAACAUCAUUCCUCACUAGCAUCUCCGCAUCUCUUUUGGACCAUCCUCUCGGGAAUGCAGUCCACGGGCAGCGCAGUCGUUCCUUUCCCAGUACACGUUGCUAUGUGAUACCGGAGCCCUCCCACCACCGACGCCAUAGGAGUCCCUUCCUGUGGAAUUCCUUGUUCCAAACAACGGAGAACGCGCUGAUUUACUUGCACAAACAUUGAUCUCUUCUUCGGGAUAAACCACAAACAGCUCGUGGUCAAGAUGGAGGUGAACUGAGCGCAUGAAUGACGCCUCCACCUUGGUCUGCAUCAUUCCACUG